GCCCGGACCGGUACUGCCCCGGCCCCCGCCCCUAGGCCGGGGGUCACGGCAUCCGGGGGGACGCGCAGCCGCCGCCGCGGCCCGGGGCUCGGCGGUCCAGUCUUCUGCCCGUGGCGCGGCUGGAGCGGCGGCGUCGGCAACAGAUGAAGAAGACGAGGCUUGAGAGACGAAGGAAUGAAUGAAGGGUCUCACAGCUGUUAGAAGGGUUAGAUCUUGUAUUUGGACUCAGGUCUGCCUGCCCUGGAACUUGACUCUCCCACACCUGGUGCUGGGCACACUAGGAGACGUCACAAGGCUCAGAGAUGCCACCCUUCCUAGAACGGGCGCCGUGCCUCUCUUCUCCACACACUGCAGGGGAGACAGGCACUGUGUUUUCAGAUAAGUUCCAUGUGCAUCAGGGGCUCGGUGGGAAAGGGAGGACACACUCAGAUUAGGAUUAUUCAUGGAGGAUUCUCCAAAGAGGCUAUUUGGAAAGACGGAGGGAAUGGUGAAGGAAAGCACAAGAGAAAAUGGACAGAACCGUUACUUCCUCACGCCUGAAGGGGAUGGGUUACUGGAAGCCAGGAGGAGAGUGUGAUAAGAGCCACUUUUAGAGGAGCUUUCACCUUCAGGAGAAAGUCAGGGCCCAAGAAGACCCACAGGGAGGUGACCAGGGAAUGGCAUACUUGGACUACCCUCUCUUCUGUUCCUCCACUCUCCUGCCAGGGCUCCACAUUGGAUAAACCCCUGCAGGGGCGAGUGAAACUGCCACCCAGGUUUGCCUCCCAGGGCACAGCCCAUGGAGAGCUCUAAGGCAAGUGGCAGAAAACUAGCACAGGUGCAGUGCGUCUUGCAAAGCACCCAGCCUAUGCCGGCCCUGGGCUAGAAAUGGGAAGAGAGGAGACCAUGGCACUGCCCUCAAAGAUCUUAGAGUCUGUGGAGGAGUCAGGCAGAGAGAGGGGGUGUUCCCUUGGCAAAGGACUCCAUGAGCAGAUGCAGGCCAUGGGCGACGCUCCUGCAGAAGCUUUGGGGUUUGCCGCAUGUGCCUGGAAGGAGCGCGCCCACCUUGACAUGCCUCGCCUCCUGUUGCCAUUGACAACGUGAAGGCAAACUCCUGGGGCUGGGCCUUUUUCCUUGAGAUAAAAUAUGUAUAAUUCUCUGUUAUCAAAUGAUUAUUAAACAAAAUCUAAUUGAAAAAAUAGAAAGAAGAAAAGAUAAGUCAUUUAUCAUCCUGUUCUCCAAAGACAACUGUGAACAGCUUGGUGGAACUCCUUCCAGUGGCUUUCCUUGGAGCUUUGCCUCUGUGGAUGUGGUAAGAGUCGGAUGCGAUUUUGAAUUUUGAGAUUUUGAUUGAGCAUUGUUGUAGUAUUUUGCCAUGUUAUGAUAAAUCAUUGGCAAACAUAGUUUUUGACGGCUGCAUAAUAUUCUGCAUAAUAUUCAUAAUAAUGAAUGCUAGUAUAGUUCAUAUUAUAAUUCUUCUACUGUAUUUAUUUAUUUAUUUAUUUUUGAGAUAGAGUCUUGCUUUGUCACCGAGGCUGGAAUGCAGUGGCGCGAUCUCAGCUCACUGCAACCUCCACCUCCUGAGUUCAAGCUGUCCUCCCACCUCAGCCUCCUUCAAUAGCUGUGACUACAGGUAUUCGCCACCAUGCUGGACUAAUUUUUGCAUUUUUUAGUAGAGACGGGGUUUCACCAUGUUGGCCAGGCUGGUCUUGAACUCCUGACCUCAGGUGAUCUGCCCGCUUCGGCCUCCCACAGUGCUGGGAUUACAGGCAUGAGCCACCACGCUCAGCCUUCUUCUACUGUUUAAAUGUUUAGGUUAUAUCCUGUUUCAUUAAUAUUAAAGAAUGCUAUAAUUAAAAACUUUGUGUAUAGAGAAUUUUUCCAUGUUUCAGAUUAUUUAUCCAGGAUGAUGUCUCUAAAAUAAAGCUACUAGAGGUUGAAGUAUCUAGCCCAG
rnacentral:lncRNA from 1 species